rnacentral:rRNA from 1 species
GACGAACGCUGGCGGCGCGCCUAACACAUGCAAGUCGAACGAGCAAGAGAGAGCUUGCUUUCUCAAGCGAGUGGCGAACGGGUGAGUAACGCGUGAGGAACCUGCCUCAAAGAGGGGGACAACAGUUGGAAACGACUGCUAAUACCGCAUAAGCCCACGACCCGGCAUCGGGUAGAGGGAAAAGGAGCAAUCCGCUUUGAGAUGGCCUCGCGUCCGAUUAGCUAGUUGGUGAGGUAACGGCCCACCAAGGCGACGAUCGGUAGCCGGACUGAGAGGUUGAACGGCCACAUUGGGACUGAGACACGGCCCAGACUCCUACGGGAGGCAGCAGUGGGGAAUAUUGCACAAUGGGGGAAACCUUGAUGCAGCGACGCCGCGUGGAGGAAGAAGGUCUUCGGAUUGUAAACUCCUGUUGUUGAGGAAGAUAAUGACGGUACUCAACAAGGAAGUGACGGCUAACUACGUGCCAGCAGCCGCGGUAAAACGUAGGUCACAAGCGUUGUCCGGAAUUACUGGGUGUAAAGGGAGCGCAGGCGGGAAGACAAGUUGGAAGUGAAAUCCAUGGGCUCAACCCAUGAACUGCUUUCAAAACUGUUUUUCUUGAGUAGUGCAGAGGUAGGCGGAAUUCCCGGUGUAGCGGUGGAAUGCGUAGAUAUCGGGAGGAACACCAGUGGCGAAGGCGGCCUACUGGGCACCAACUGACGCUGAGGCUCGAAAGUGUGGGUAGCAAACAGGAUUAGAUACCCUGGUAGUCCACACUGUAAACGAUGAUUACUAGGUGUUGGAGGAUUGACCCCUUCAGUGCCGCAGUUAACACAAUAAGUAAUCCACCUGGGGGAGUACGACCGCAAGGUUGAAACUCAAAGGAAUUGACGGGGGCCCGCACAAGCAGUGGAGUAUGUGGUUUAAUUCGACGCAACGCGAAGAACCUUACCAAGUCUUGACAUCCUGCGACGGUGCUGGAAACAGUACUUUCCUUCGGGACGCAGAGACAGGUGGUGCAUGGUUGUCGUCAGCUCGUGUCGUGAGAUGUUGGGUUAAGUCCCGCAACGAGCGCAACCCUUAUGGUCAGUUACUACGCAAGAGGACUCUGGCCAGACUGCCGUUGACAAAACGGAGGAAGGUGGGGAUGACGUCAAAUCAUCAUGCCCUUUAUGACUUGGGCUACACACGUACUACAAUGGCGUUAAACAAAGAGAAGCAAGACCGCGAGGUGGAGCAAAACUCAGAAACAACGUCCCAGUUCGGACUGCAGGCUGCAACUCGCCUGCACGAAGUCGGAAUUGCUAGUAAUCGCAGAUCAGCAUGCUGCGGUGAAUACGUUCCCGGGCCU